CAAUUGUCCAUCAUUUUACUAUCAUAUUCAAUAGUUUUGCUGUCCUGAAAAUCCUCUGUGCUCUUCUUAUUCAUCCUGCCCUCCCCCUUAACCCCUGGGAAUCACUGAUCCUUUUAUUGUGUCCAUGGUUUGCCUUUUCUGGACUGUGUGUUUUCAGCCACUUUCUGCUAGCUUGGAGCAAAUGCAUGGACAUUCUCCUUUGGAGACAGGCUAUGGAUGGAGUCAAAGAACUUAAGAUGAAGGGGUCUACCAGGAAGAUUACUAACUAACGCCGAUCAGGCGAUUCCCGAUUGACUGGUUUAAGAUUGCAUUUUUGAAGGAGUUGAAACUUUUUCAAGCUUGUGUGGAGAUCAUUAAUGAAGCAAUAAGC
ensembl:lncRNA